UACGGGGGGGGCAAGCGUUGUUCGGAAUUACUGGGCGUAAAGGGCGCGUAGGCGGUCAGACCAAGUCGCGUGUGAAAUGCCAGGGCUUAACUCUGGCACGCUCGCGCGAUACUGGUCGGCUAGAGUGUGGAAGAGGAUGCUGGAAUUCCCGGUGUAGCGGUGAAAUGCGUAGAUAUCUGGAGGAACACCGGUGGCGAAGGCGGCGUUCUGGACUGCUACUGACACUGAGGAACGAAAGCCAGGGGAGCAAACGGG
rnacentral:rRNA from 1 species